rnacentral:pre_miRNA from 1 species
UUGAAGAAAUUGAAGACCGCAACUUGCAGGCUUGAAGAAUUUGAAGACUUCAACUUGUAGACUUAAAGAAUUUGAAGACUUUAACU